CAAAGUCCAACCCUACUGACUCAAAUACAAUACUCACUGUCACGCCCUGGAUUACGACAUUUCCCCGGGCACGCCAACAGACCCGCCGUAUACAAAAGAAUUUCUUCUGUAUACAAAGAGAUAGCUGUACCUGUACCUGUAAUCAUACAAAAUUACAACUAGUAUUAUAGAGCUGCUAACAAAACUGUAUAUAAAUAAACAUCAGGUUUACCAUACAUACAGAGUCUCCCUAAUACAACAUCUUUCGCUCCAGCGAGUAAUAGCAUAAGUAUGUACAUGAACCAGAAACCAAAACUACCUGCAGCUGGUACUCCUCUAGUAU
rnacentral:lncRNA from 1 species